rnacentral:rRNA from 1 species
ACAGAGGGGGCAAGCGUUAUUCGGAAUUAUUGGGCGUAAAGGGCGCGUAGGCGGUUUCUUAAGUGAGAUGUGUAAACCCCGGGCUUAACCUGGGAACUGCAUCUCAGACUGGGGAACUAGAGUACUGGAGAGGGUGGUAGAAUUCCACGUGUAGCGGUGAAAUGCGUAGAGAUGAGGAGGAAUACCAGUGGCGAAGGCGGCCAACUGGACUGUAACUGACGCUGAGGCGCGAAAGUGUGGGGAGCAAACAG